GGCACCAUCAUCUCUCUGUAGCCGCUGUCCAGAACCAUGACCACCGCUAAACACAACCAUCAUGAUCCCUACUACCAACUCUUUGCUGCUGGACUCCAGCACUAUCGUGUCAGUUGGCACCACCACAACCGUGUAAUCCUACCACUCCUCACUACCACCACGGUUCGACAUCCUCCCCGAACCAUGCAAUACAAUCCUACAGCCAUAAUACUGUGCCUAACCUGAAACCCUAACCCUUAACCCAACUCAAAACCCUAACCUGAAAUGGAGGUAGUCGGAUUUGGAUUCAUCACCAGAGAAGAAGAGGAGGUACUAGUGUAGGGAUACGAGGUAGGCUACACUAGCGCAAAUCAAAAUUUCUACCGCGUAUAACCAGGAAGAACUGCCGUAUAAGGAUCACGGGAUUACCACUCGACGCACUACUGGUGCGGAAGAUGUAGAUAUGCGUCGAUGCAGUGAAGACGAUCACGUAGUCGUACGUAGUCGAUCAACGUAGUCGUACAUAGUCGAUCACGUCCAGCAGCUCCUCAGCAGCUCGUCCACGUGCACAGCAAGAUCGCCUCCGGUGCCGCGGCUCGUCGUCGGCUCGUCGUGGCUCGUCGGCGGCUCGUCGAUGGCUCGUCCAAGUGCUGCAGGCGCAACACCUCCAAGGUAUCCACACGUGCAGGGAGGAAGCGUCGCAAGCCGGACUGCUAGAUCCACGAGUUGCAACAGGCGAGGGCGUGGGAGGCGCGGCAGGUGUGUUUCGCCAAAAAGGUAUAAACCCUAGGGCGCCCCCACCCCUCUAUUUAUAGAGGUUCCUGAUGGGCCUCUGGAUCCGAGGCCCAUUAGUACUCCUAAACCUAAUCCAACUCGGAUCAGAUCCGAAUUGGGCUUCCAGCCCCUUAAGUGUGUGACCCUAUGGGUUCGGAUACGUAUAGAGAUGGCCCGAGUACUCCUACUCGGCCCAAUAGUCGGUAGCGGCCCUCUAGCAAGACGUGCCAACUCCUAUACGCACACGAAGAUCAUAUCAGACGAACCAUCACAACAUAAUAUACAUGCUAUUCCCUUUGCCUCACGAUAUUUGGUCUAGCUUCAAGCCGACCGCUCUUUCUCGAUCCUGUGAUUCGGAAUCCCUUUGUAAGUUAACUCUUAACCGUACGUAGCAUGGCCAUGCAUUUUUGGAUCCGAUCACUCGAGGGGCCCAAAGAUAUCACUCUCAAUCAGAGAGGGGCAAAUCCCAUCUUGAUUGACCAUGUCUCAUAGCAUGCUUCUUGACAAACCGGAAAGCUACCUUUAUAACUACCCUGUUACGGCGUAGCGUUUGAUAGCCCCUAAGUAGGUCGAUCCACAUCUAGAAUACAUGCGACAAUCUCAGGUCUAAGGACAAAGCGUAUAUGUUGUUUAAAGAGAGAACUACUUCUCAUGUUGGGUCAGUCCUAACACAUGUCUUCACAUGUGUCCACAUUAUUAGUUCAACAUCUCCAUGUCUAUGACUUGUGAAACAUAGUCAUCAACUAAUACAUGUGCUAGUCUAAUAUUCAUGUGUGUCCUCACAUGAACUCCGACUAGGGACAACUUUAGAAUAACCAUACAAGUAAAGAGUUUCACAUACAAUUCACAUAAUUGCAAAUCAAUCCAAGUAGCCUUUAAUGGAUAUUCAAUGAACACAAUAUACAAAUCAUGGAUACAAAUGGAAUAUCAUCAUCUCUAUGAUUGCCUCUAGGGCAUACCUCCAACAACUAGAGCUGGAGGUGUCUUGAUUUCAUUUUUCCGUAUCUCAAUUCUUUUACUUCUCUAUUUUUUUCCUUUCGGUCUUCCAGCAUCCCCUCGUGUUGCUCACAUGUUAGAAAUCGGGAGGUCUCUUGCAUUAAGCUAAAAUCGGGAUCCCUCUCAAAUUAGAUUUUCUGUUCUGUCAAUAAUGCUACUUUAACUUCUUUUGUAGUGUAAGAUUUGUUAGUUAUGUUAAAAAGUGACUUUUGAUUUUCAAACAAUGUAACCUAUGAUGACUUAGCUAUGCUUGGAAUAUACUGGUAAUAAGAUAUUGGUGUGAUUAAGAAAACUAUCCCUUUUAGUUCACUAAUUAUCUACUCUGUCCCAUAAUAUAGCUAGCUUUUGCGUUCAAAUUUUAUCUCACAAUAAAACUAUUUCUUAGUUCUUGGGUGGAUUGCAAUUUGUGUUUAGUCCAAAAUACCCUAGCAAUCACUACGACUUUGUUUUGGUUUUGAAUUCACAUGCAUGCAUGCCAACAAAUCUAGAAGAAAUGCUGACAAUUAUAUAUACCCAGCACUGGAAGAAAUUCCAAAAUGACUGGGGUACAUGUCUUUCAUCAUGUUACCCAACGUAAUGAUGGACAAAUCUUCCACUUUUUUUCUAUUUGCAACAAUUUUAACAACAUUUUUUUGCAUAAGGACAUUAUCUCAGGUAUGGAUUUGUUGAUUUCGUGGUUUUCAAAACAUAUUGACAUUGUUUUUUAUGCAUCGUGUCCCUUGUAUUAUUCCGACCACAUUUUCUAACCAAAUUGUUUAGAUGAAACCAGAUGCUCUUCAAUUCCGUUUCCUCCAAAACCAUUCGCUCUGUCCUUCAAAAUAUAUGCUCUGAAAUUACCUUUUUGACUUUGAAGUUGUGUACUUGAGGACAAGUACUUUAUGGAAGAGACCCAUUAUCUUGAUAUCUGUGGGACUACAAGACCCUCCAAAAUCUAUUCCCGCACAUACCACAAUCGAUGCGCAUUACUAGAACAAACAACUCAUCAUCGUGUUUCAGCUAGUAAGUGCUAACACUAGUAGAGAAUUGGGCUUUAGUCCCGGUUGGUAGCGUGCAAAGAUCCCGAAAAUGCAUCCGGGAUAAACAAACCGGGACAAAAGGGGGGUCUUUUAUCCGGGUCACUCAACCGGGACAAAAGACCCCCUUUUAUCCCGGUUGGUAAUACCAACCGGGAUAAAUGGGGUCACCCACGGCCGGCGCUGCAAAAAAAAAAAAAUAUGCGCGUGCUCCUAGGAGGCCCCCACACGCUCACAAGUCACGCGAUUUUUCACGCGAAAUAUGCGCGUGCGCGGUUCGUGGGAUUCGAACCCACAACCUCCAGCCUCGCGCGUAGCUUCCUUGCCAUCCCACCUACACACCACAUCUAACUAUGUAGGGGAUACUAUCCUUUUGUAUUAACUCGUGGGGACCCUUUUAUCCCGGUUGGAAACACCAACCGGGAUAAAAGACCCCCUUUUAUCCCGGUUGGUGUUAGGUUCGAGGAUUUAAUCCCCUUCCAGCCACGUUCCAGUCACCUCGUUGGGGGACCCUUUUAUCCCGGUUUGAAACACCAACCGGGAUAAAUGACCCCCUUUUAUCCCGGUUGGUAUUACAAACCGGGAUAAAAGGUUCUUGACCCUUUUAUCUCGGUUGGUGUUACCAACCGGGAUAAAAGGGGGGUCUUUUAUCCCGGUUGGUGUUUCAAACCGGGAUAAAAUGCCUCUCAGAGUCUUUUUUUCCCACUAGCCUUUGCAACCGGGAUAAAAGAUCCCAGUUGGUGAGCCCCCCACCAGUGACCGAGUUUUAGUCCCAGUUGGUGAACCUUUUGUCCCGGGCCAACUUUAAAUCGGGACAAAAGGGGGCGUAUGGAAAGCCAAUUCUCUACUAGUGUAAAGUCCUCAUCUUUUUGGGCUGGCCAAUAAGCUCUCCAGCUAGACCUCGUCGCUGACCGUAGCGUGCUCAUCAUCGUUACGGUGCCAUGUCCAGACGGCUCUCCUUUCAUCCACGAUCCUCAGCCUCCCGUGCCCGAAGCUUUCGUCACGACACACACAGACAGGUGAGCCAAUAACUCAUGGUCACUGACGAGCCUUCACAAUAGAAGCAUUAUAUUAUACUGUUAGUGUUCACAAUAAUAAACACGCUCAGAGGAGUUAUCCUUGAGCACCAAGCGCAUUGAGUACUUCAGUAUUCAUACUUGUGAGCUCUGCUGUUGCCUGCGUCGCCAAUCGUGAUGUACAACGGGCCUUAGCUGUUGGCCUCCUUGUCAUAAAUCCUCGUCUAUGUAAUGCACAGAAACCACAUCAUCAAAAUUGACGAAUUAUGACAUGGCUCGAGUUAAUCUGAACUCUGAACCAUGGCCACCCCUCCUGGCUUUGGCGGCACCAUCAUCUCUGUAGCCGCUGUCCAGAACCAUGGCCACCGCUAAACACAACCAUCAUGACCCCUACAACCUACUCUCUACAACUGGACUCCAGCACUAUCGUGGCGGUUGGCACCACCACCACCACCAUGUCAUCCCACUCUCCACCACCACCAUGGUUCAGCAUCCUCCCUGAACCAUGCAAUACGAUCCUGCAGCAACAAUACCAUUUCUAAUUUGAAACCCUAAACCCAACUGAAAACCCUAACCUGAAAUGGAGGUAGUUGGAUUUGGAUUCAUCAGUGGAGAAGAAGAGGAGGUACUAGAGCUGUAGGUGUCUUGAUUUCAUACUUCUGUAUCUCGAUUUUUUUACUUCUCUAUUUUUCCUUUCGGUCUUCCAAUAUCCCCUCCUCUUGCUCACAUGCUAGAAAUUCGGAGGACUCUUGCAUUAAUUACUAAGAUCAAGAUCCUUAUCAAUUUAGAUUCUAUGUUCUGUCAAUUUAGAGAAAACAAAAUUUGACUGGAACCUAUUAUUAUUUAUAAUUUAUGAUAUCAAUACACACAUGAUGAACACAUAAAGCUAUUAUUAUUAUUAUAUAUCAAAGAUGUCCCAAAAAUAACAUUUAAAUUAUCAACCACCAGAUGCGG
rnacentral:lncRNA from 1 species